CUUUUGAUGCUGGGAAUAUACUUCAAAUAUAUAACUUUGCGCCACAAAUACAGAUCCCGAAUUGAGCACCAUAGGAAUGACUAGAUGUUGGUCGCUUCACUUUGAUGAUCGGGAAAAAUAUAUAAGCUACACUGGGGUAAGUUGAAACGGAAGCCAUAACCUUUACUAGGAAUUAUGGAUUGACGUUAUAUAUUUCUCAGUAAACAGUAGGGUAAAGGGGGGAGCAGUUUCGGACAAGGCUUGUAAAAAAAAGUGGUACAAUUUUCAACCAAAUUAAAUAUAAGUAUGUUAGCAGCCCUUCCACCAACAUCUGCCAUAUAGUUUGACAGCUCCUGGUCGUUUAUUACUUACGAAAACAACAUAGUGGCCUUUUUCAUACACGUUUUGAAACUUCUGAGCUUGAAGUUUUCAAUGAUAAUAUAUAUUUGGUUUCUAUAAUAGGGAAAUCAAAGAUCCUUUUCCUAAAUAAUAAAAUCGGCAACCAGGAAUGACUGAUCCUACUGCAUAGAAUAUAGCCGCGCGAGAUAGCUGGUGGAUGAUAAUCCAGACGACCGGAGUUCGAACCCACAUCGGAUCAGUUUUCACCAAACAUCAAUCUGUGCCAUUUUAAACAUUUGUAUUCCACUCACAACACAAG